rnacentral:rRNA from 1 species
AUGUCAUGGAGAACUUUAAUUGACAUCCUGUUGAUAGGUAUGUGCAAAACUGCAGUACUGAACAUGGUUUUGCAUUUGCUACAGCCAGCUAUGCUAAAACGUACUGAACCUGAAUAUAUGCUACUGCAAUACAGUCGGCCGUUAUUCAAAAUUCAGUUAGCUCACAUGCAGGACCUUAGUUGUGAGAUUUCAGUCAACUAUGCGGUGCAGUUGGCCAUUAUUCGAAAUUCAGUUAACCAUCUUAUGUACCCUGCCAUAAUAACAAAACUAAAUCCUCUUGAUCUGUUGUACAAUCCACGCAUUCAUAUAGCUCGGUAA